rnacentral:rRNA from 1 species
GGCGAACGGGUGAGUAAUACAUCGAGAACGUGUCCUGGAGUGGGGGAUAGCCCGGUGAACCCCGGAUUAAUACCGCAUACGCUCUGUGGAGGAAAGCGGGGGAUCUUUCGGGACCUCGCGCUCAAGGGGCGGCCGAUGGCAGAUUAGGUAGUUGGUGGGGUAAAGGCCUACCAAGCCGACGAUCUGUAGCUGGUCUGAGAGGACGACCAGCCACACUGGGACUGAGACACGGCCCAGACUCCUACNGGAGGCAGCANUGGGGAAUUUUGGACAAUGGGCGCAAGCCUGAUCCAGCAAUGCCGCGUGUGUGAAGAAGGCCUUCGGGUUGUAAAGCACUUUUGUCCGGAAAGAAAACCUCGUGGCUAAUAUCCGUGAGGGAUGACGGUACCGGAAGAAUAAGCACCGGCUAACUAC